AAUAUAAAUCAUUUUAAUAAUAUAUUUGGUUGUUGUUUAAAUGCUAGUUUUAAGUUAGUAAUAUGUUGCAUACUGUUGAAUUUUACAUUUAAGUUGAUUUUGUCGAGGCCUAAUUUGUGGAAUUCGUCUCGGGCCCUUGACAAUAACAGGACCGACCCUGUGUGAAUGGAUAAGUAUUUCAUUUUAAGAUCCCAAAUAUUCUUAUGCAAUAGCACAAGGCUAAAAAUCGGGAGUGAUUUCAUUAGGUUCCAAAGGAAAGGCCAUGGGGAAAUCAAUUAGUCUGUAUUUGAGCUCCAUUCUUUAAAAAACAAAUUUUUUCAAACUCAUUUUUAACACACAUUCUCGUAAUAAAAUAAUUUUACAAAGUUAGUUUAAAAUUUUUUCCUACUUUCUAAUUACACAUUCUUUAAAAAAAAAAAACACUAUUAUAAAGUCGCUCAAACAAAUUAACAUUGAAGUUGACAAGAAAAAUGAUAUUUUUGUAAUAUGUAAAUAAGGAUUUUUCUAGAUGUAAAUAAUGGGACACCAUUGGCACCUCCCCAUUGGAAGAGGUGCUUGUGGACCCAGCGCCUCCCCAUUGGGGGAGGCGCGGAGGAGGUGCCACCUCGAGAUUAUGGACACCAUCAUGGUGUCCAUAAUGUACACCAAGAAUAGUCCUGUAAAUAAUAAUAUUCAUUAAUUACAUGUUGUUAAAAGUGAUUUAUUGCAACAAUCAGUAAAUGUAUAUUACCGUUGAUUGAUUAAAUUGAAAUUUGACAACAUUCUUUAAUGCAUGUUGUUAUUGUGUCCUUUUAUAAUAUUUUCUAUCCACUGUCGUUAAUUGCUUAACAACGUGCAAAGUACGUUGUCAUCAACAUUGCUACCAUUUGCUCAUUGGUGUCCAUUACUUGUUUUAAUAAUCCAACCAAACCCAAUCCAAUACGUUUAACUUGCUAAUUAACCACACAAUUAACGAAUGGCAUUGUAGUCAUAGCUAAG
rnacentral:lncRNA from 1 species